UACGUAGGGACCAAGCGUUGUUCGGAUUCACUGGGCGUAAAGGGUGCGUAGGUGGUUGGGUAAGUUUGAUGUGAAAGCUCAGGGCUUAACCCUGAAAUGGCAUUGAAUACUACUUAACUGGAGGUUUGGAGGGGGGGGGACUGGAAUUCUUGGUGUAGCAGUGAAAUGCGUAGAUAUCAAGAGGAACACCAGUGGCGAAGGCGAGUCCCUGGACAACACCUGACACUGAGGCACGAAAGCUAGGGGAGCAAACAGG
rnacentral:rRNA from 1 species